AAUAGCAUGCUGUUAGCAUUAAAGAAAACCCAAUCCGGGCAGGCAGAAAGCACUCUAGCCUUACUGCAGCUUGGGGUGCCUCACUCUCUCCCCUGCCCCUUCUCCCAGCUGGGAGGGAGCCCCUCUGCCCUCCGGGCUCUCCUGCUCCCCUGGGCUUCUCCAGGCCUCUCCAUCUCCCCCCAUGCCCCUCUCUCUCUCUCUCCCUCCGUGGAUCCUUGCUCUCCCUCAGCUUCCAGGUCUCUGCUGGUCCCCAGGGAGCACUUUGACCUCUGCUCCCCCCUCAGGUGCUGUGGAUGAAGCCUCACCCCCAACCCACCAUUCCACCAAAGGGGCUGCUGAUCCAGAGGCCCCACCCAGCCAGAACUGCCAUAAACCACAAAAUCCUCCAAAGGAACGAAGCUCCAACAUCCAAACUGCGAACUACCUUGAGCUAGCAGUUUCGCUCGUUGUCCGGCAGGUGUCGCUGUGGACCGCUCAAAAAAUCCUCCGCAGCCCGAAUCCUCGCGCAAUGGGGACGGUAGAUAAUUCAGUACGUGGUGGCUGUGAGCUUUAUUGCUAUUCUCUCCUGGGCGAGCAGCGAUUUGCAAAGGCAGAGUUCAGAGAGAGCACAAGUGGAGGGAAUGGUGGAGGGAGAAGAAGAAGCAGGCUCCCCACUGAGCCAGGAACCCAUGCAGAACUCUGAACUCAUUCCCAGGACUCUGAUACUACGACCUGGGCCGAAGGUAGAGGCAUAACGGACAGAGCUACCCAGGCACCCUGAGGCCCUAAUUCUGGCAUUCAAGGCCAUCAGGACCUCAGGCCCACCCCCUUCCCAGCCCCACUGUGAGCCAUCUCCAGAGCACACCUGGAACUCCCUCACACCCAUGCUUUUGCACAAGUUCUUUUCUCUACCUGGACACUUCCACUUGUUCGCCUGUGCCGAAGAUCCUCCAUGGUCUCCUCCUGACCCCAACUGUUGUCUGCAGCCACGGGAGCCUUCACCUGCCUCCCCGGAGCAGGACCAGAAGCAGCAGGAAGCCCCAGACUGAGGGUUAGAAACACAGGUAUGUCGGGAUAAACCACAGUGAGCCAGAUGGAAAGAUGGUCUCCAAAGAGAUAUCCGCAGUUACCGUGAAAUAGUGGAAUUUCAGUUCUGAUACAGGCGCAUAGUGACCCUCAAGGGUAGAACAAAGACAAGUCAGAAAAGUACCCAUGGAAGAGAGGGACCAGCCCCCGGCGCGCCUUCCUCUGCUUUGAUGUCAUCCUCUUCCUGGACAGCAGAGGGCGCUCUAUUUCCACGCCAAAAAAAAAAAAAAA